rnacentral:rRNA from 1 species
AUCAACGCUGGCGGCGCGCCUAACACAUGCAAGUCGAGCGAGAAAGCCGGGGCAACCUGGUGAGUAAAGUGGCGUACGGGUGAGUAACACGUGGGUAAUCUACCUCCUUGUGGGGAAUAACCCUGGGAAACCGGGGCUAAUACCGCAUAAGCUCGAGAGAGGAAAGCAGCAAUGCGCAGGGAGAGGAGCCCGCGGCCGAUUAGCUAGUUGGCAGGGUAAAAGCCUACCAAGGCAAAGAUCGGUAGCCGGCCUGAGAGGGCACACGGCCACACUGGCACUGAAACACGGGCUAGACUCCUACGGGAGGCAGCAGUGGGGAAUCUUGCACAAUGGGGGAAACCCUGAUGCAGCGACGCCGCGUGAGCGAUGAAGCCCUUCGGGGUGUAAAGCUCUUUCGGCAGGGAAGAUGAUGACGGUACCUGCAGAAGCAGCUGCGGCUAACUACGUGCCAGCAGCCGCGGUAAUACGUAGGCAGCAAGCGUUGUUCGGAGUUACUGGGCGUAAAGGGUGUGUAGGCGGUUGCUUAAGUUUGGUGUGAAAUCUCCCGGCUCAACUGGGAGGGUGCGCCGAAUACUGAGUGACUCGAGUGCGGGAGAGGAAAGUGGAAUUCCUGGUGUAGCGGUGAAAUGCGUAGAUAUCAGGAGGAACACCGGUGGUGUAGACGGCUUUCUGGACCGUAACUGACGCUGAGACACGAAAGCGUGGGUAGCAAACAGGAUUAGAUACCCUGGUAGUCCACGCCCUAAACGAUGCAUAUUUGGUGUGGGUCAUUCAGUUGAUCCGUGCCGGAGCUAACGCGUUAAAUAUGCCGCCUGGGGAGUACAGUCACAAGGCUGAAACUCAAAGGAAUUGACGGGGGCCCGCACAAGCGGUGGAGCAUGUGGUUCAAUUCGACGCAACGCGCAGAACCUUACCAGGGUUUGACAUCCUGUGCUCGGCUCACGAGGGAAAUAGCUUUACCCCGCAAGGGGGUCCAGUAGACAGGUGCUGCAUGGCUGUCGUCAGCUCGUGUCGUGAGAUGUUGGGUUAAGUCCCGCAACGAGCGCAACCCUCGUCCUGUAGUUGCCAUGCAGUCAAGUUGGGCACUCGAAAGGAGACCGCCAGCGACUAAGCCGGAGGAAGGUGGGGAUGACGUCAAGUCCUCAUGGCCCUUAUGUCCCUGGGCUACACACGUGCUACAAUGGACGGUGACAAGUGAGCAGCGAACCGCGAGGCGCAUGCCAAUCGCAGAAAAACCGUCUCAGUUCAGGAUUGCACGGCUGCAACUCGGCUGCAUGAAGGUGGAAUCGCUAGUAAUCGCAGAUCAGCACGCUGCGGUGAAUACGUUCCCGGGCCUUGUACACACCGCCUCGUCACAUCACGAAUGGGAGUUGUUCUACCUAGAAGUACUGAGUGCGCUAACCGCAAGGAGGGCAGCCGGCCACGGUAUGGAUCCAUCGACUGGGGUG